GUAGGUGGCAAGCGUUGUCCGGAAUUAUUGGGCGUAAAGCGCGCGCAGGCGGUUCUUUAAGUCUGAUGUGAAAGCCCACGGCUCAACCGUGGAGGGUCAUUGGAAACUGGAGAACUUGAGUACAGAAGAGGAAAGCGGAAUUCCACGUGUAGCGGUGAAAUGCGUAGAGAUGUGGAGGAACACCAGUGGCGAGGCGGCUUUCUGGUCUGUAACUGACGCUGAGGCGCGAAAGCGUGGGGGAGCAAACAGGAUUAGAUACCCUGGUAGUCCACGCCGUAAACGAUGAGUGCUAAGUGUUAGGGGGUUUCCGCCCCUUAGUGCUGCAGCUAACGCAUUAAGCACUCCGCCUGGGAGUACGGCCGCAAGGCUG
rnacentral:rRNA from 1 species